AGAUCACUGAAAUUGUCAAGCUGCAGAGUGGGCCACUUCAGUAGUUUCGAGAUGGAAGAAAUAAACCUGUGUUUUUAGGAUGGUAGAAAAGAUCCAGUGGAGCCCUGGCCAGCGCACAGGUUCUGUGACUGAGAGUCACAGUUGGUGGAGAUUAAACAAGUAUUGUAUGACCAUGCCAGACACUGGUACAAAGCUCUACAUGCGUUGUCUUGGUAUCCCCUGAGCCACUGUGUCUUG